UUAAGCGACUAAGCGUACACGGUGGAUGCCCUGGCAGUCAGAGGCGAUGAAGGACGUGCUAAUCUGCGAAAAGCGUCGGUAAGGUGAUAUGAACCGUUACAGCCGGCGAUGUCCGAAUGGGGAAACCCAGUGUGAUUCGUCACACUAUCGUUAACUGAAUACAUAGGUUAACGAGGCGAACCGGGGGAACUGAAACAUCUAAGUACCCCGAGGAAAAGAAAUCAACCGAGAUUCCCCCAGUAGCGGCGAGCGAACGGGGAGCAGCCCAGAGUCUGAAUCAGCUUGUGUGUUAGUGGAACGGUCUGGAAAGUCCGACGGUACAGGGUGAUAGUCCCGUACACCAAAAUGCACAGGCUGUGAACUCGAAGAGUAGGGCGGGACACGUGGUAUCCUGUCUGAAUAUGGGGGGACCAUCCUCCAAGGCUAAAUACUCCUGACUGACCGAUAGUGAACCAGUACCGUGAGGGAAAGGCGAAAAGAACCCCGGCGAGGGGAGUGAAAAAGAACCUGAAACCGUGUACGUACAAGCAGUGGGAGCACCUUUAUGGUGUGACUGCGUACCUUUUGUAUAAUGGGUCAGCGACUUAUAUUCUGUAGCAAGGUUAACCGUAUAGGGGAGCCGCAGGGAAACCGAGUCUUAACUGGGCGUUAAGUUGCAGGGUAUAGACCCGAAACCCGGUGAUCUAGCCAUGGGCAGGUUGAAGGUUGGGUAACACUAACUGGAGGACCGAACCGACUAAUGUUGAAAAAUUAGCGGAUGACUUGUGGCUGGGGGUGAAAGGCCAAUCAAACCGGGAGAUAGCUGGUUCUCCCCGAAAGCUAUUUAGGUAGCGCCUCGUGAAUUCAUCUUCGGGGGUAGAGCACUGUUUCGGCUAGGGGGUCAUCCCGACUUACCAACCCGAUGCAAACUACGAAUACCGAAGAAUGUUAUCACGGGAGACACACGGCGGGUGCUAACGUCCGUCGUGAAGAGGGAAACAACCCAGACCGCCAGCUAAGGUCCCAAAGUCACAGUUAAGUGGGAAACGAUGUGGGAAGGCACAGACAGCCAGGAUGUUGGCUUAGAAGCAGCCAUCAUUUAAAGAAAGCGUAAUAGCUCACUGGUCGAGUCGGCCUGCGCGGAAGAUGUAACGGGGCUAAACUGUGCACCGAAGCUGCGGCAACGACACUAUGUGUUGUUGGGUAGGGGAGCGUUCUGUAAGCCUGCGAAGGUGGCCUGUGAGGGUUGCUGGAGGUAUCAGAAGUGCGAAUGCUGACAUAAGUAACGAUAAUGCGGGUGAAAAGCCCGCACGCCGGAAGACCAAGGGUUCCUGUCCAACGUUAAUCGGGGCAGGGUGAGUCGACCCCUAAGGCGAGGCCGAAAGGCGUAGUCGAUGGGAAACAGGUUAAUAUUCCUGUACUUGGUGUUACUGCGAAGGGGGGACGGAGAAGGCUAUGUUAGCCGGGCGACGGUUGUCCCGGUUUAAGCAUGUAGGCGGAGGUUCCAGGUAAAUCCGGUACCUUUUAACGCUGAGGUGUGAUGACGAGGCACUACGGUGCUGAAGUAACAAAUGCCCUGCUUCCAGGAAAAGCCUCUAAGCAUCAGGUAACAUUGAAUCGUACCCCAAACCGACACAGGUGGUCAGGUAGAGAAUACCAAGGCGCUUGAGAGAACUCGGGUGAAGGAACUAGGCAAAAUGGUGCCGUAACUUCGGGAGAAGGCACGCUGAUAUGUAGGUGAAGCCCCUGCGGGUGGAGCUGAAAUCAGUCGAAGAUACCAGCUGGCUGCAACUGUUUAUUAAAAACACAGCACUGUGCAAACACGAAAGUGGACGUAUACGGUGUGACGCCUGCCCGGUGCCGGAAGGUUAAUUGAUGGGGUUAUCCGUAAGGAGAAGCUCUUGAUCGAAGCCCCGGUAAACGGCGGCCGUAACUAUAACGGUCCUAAGGUAGCGAAAUUCCUUGUCGGGUAAGUUCCGACCUGCACGAAUGGCGUAAUGAUGGCCAGGCUGUCUCCACCCGAGACUCAGUGAAAUUGAACUCGCUGUGAAGAUGCAGUGUACCCGCGGCAAGACGGAAAGACCCCGUGAACCUUUACUAUAGCUUGACACUGAACAUUGAGCCUUGAUGUGUAGGAUAGGUGGGAGGCUUUGAAGCGUGGACGCCAGUCUGCGUGGAGCCAACCUUGAAAUACCACCCUUUAAUGUUUGAUGUUCUAACGUUGGCCCCUGACCGGGGUUGCGGACAGUGUCUGGUGGGUAGUUUGACUGGGGCGGUCUCCUCCCAAAGAGUAACGGAGGAGCACGAAGGUUAGCUAAUCCUGGUCGGACAUCAGGAGGUUAGUGCAAUGGCAUAAGCUAGCUUGACUGCGAGCGUGACGGCGCGAGCAGGUGCGAAAGCAGGUCAUAGUGAUCCGGUGGUUCUGAAUGGAAGGGCCAUCGCUCAACGGAUAAAAGGUACUCCGGGGAUAACAGGCUGAUACCGCCCAAGAGUUCAUAUCGACGGCGGUGUUUGGCACCUCGAUGUCGGCUCAUCACAUCCUGGGGCUGAAGUAGGUCCCAAGGGUAUGGCUGUUCGCCAUUUAAAGUGGUACGCGAGCUGGGUUUAGAACGUCGUGAGACAGUUCGGUCCCUAUCUGCCGUGGGCGCUGGAGAAUUGAGGGGGGCUGCUCCUAGUACGAGAGGACCGGAGUGGACGCAUCACUGGUGUUCGGGUUGUCAUGCCAAUGGCAUUGCCCGGUAGCUAAAUGCGGAAGAGAUAAGUGCUGAAAGCAUCUAAGCACGAAACUUGCCCCGAGAUGAGUUCUCCCUGAGACUUUAAGUCUCCUGAAGGAACGUUAAAGACGAUGACGUUGAUAGGUCGGGUGUGUAAGCGUAGCGAUACGUUGAGCUAACCGAUACUAAUGAACCGUGAGGCUUAACCUU
rnacentral:rRNA from 2 species